UAGCGAAGGGGGCUAGCGUUGCUCGGAAUCACUGGGCGAAAGCGCACGUAGGCGGAUUGCUAAGUCAGGGGUGAAAUCCUGGAGCUCAACUCCAGAACUGCCCUUUGAUACUGGGCGAUCUUGAGUCCGGGAGAGGUGAGUGGAACUGCGAGUGUAGAGGUGAAAUUCGUAGAUAUCGCAAGAACACCAGUGGCGAAGGCGGCUCACUGGCCCGGUACUGACGCUGAGGUGGCGAAAGCGUGGGGAGCAAACAGG
rnacentral:rRNA from 1 species